CGGAAUGUAGCUCAGCUUGGUAGAGCACUUGGUUUGGGACCAAGGGGUCGCAGGUUCGAAUCCUGUCAUUCCGA
rfam:Kurthia sp. 11kri321, complete genome.